rnacentral:rRNA from 1 species
AGAUUGAACGCUGGCGGAAUGCUUUACACAUGCAAGUCGAACGGCAGCACGGGAGCUUGCUCCUGGUGGCGAGUGGCGAACGGGUGAGUAACACAUCGGAACAUGCCUAGUCGUGGGGGAUACCGUAGCGAAAGUUACGUUAAUACCGCAUACGUCCUGAGGGAGAAAGCAGGGGAUUCGCAAGAACCUUGCGCGAUUAGAGUGGCCGAUGCCUGAUUAGCUUGUGGUGGGUAAAGGCCUACCAAGGCGACGAUCAGUAGCGGGUCUGAGAGGAUGAUCCGCCACACUGGAACUGAGACACGGUCCAGACUCCUACGGGAGGCAGCAGUGGGGAAUUUUGGACAAGUGGGGGCAACCCUGAUCCAGCCAUUCCGCGUGAGUGAAGAGGCCUCGGUUGUAAGCGUCUUCGAGCGGAACGAACGGUACGCUCUAACAUAGCGUAUAAUGACGUACCCG